ACGCACGCUGGCGGCGUGCUUAACACCUGCAAGUCGAACGGAAAGGCCCUUCGGGGUCCUCGAGUGGCGAACGGGUGAGUAACACGUGGGUGAUCUGCCCUGCACUUUGGGAUAAGCCUGGGAAACUGGGUCUAAUACCGAAUAGGACCACGCGCUUCAUGGUGUGUGGUGGAAAGCUUUUGCGGUGUGGGAUGGGCCCGCGGCCUAUCAGCUUGUUGGUGGGGUAAUGGCCUACCAAGGCGACGACGGGUAGCCGGCCUGAGAGGGUGACCGGCCACACUGGGACUGAGAUACGGCCCAGACUCCUACGGGAGGCAGCAGUGGGGAAUAUUGCACAAUGGGCGCAAGCCUGAUGCAGCGACGCCGCGUGAGGGAUGACGGCCUUCGGGUUGUAAACCUCUUUCAAUAGGGACGAAGCGCAAGUGACGGUACCUAUAGAAGAAGCACCGGCCAACUACGUG
rnacentral:rRNA from 1 species